rnacentral:rRNA from 1 species
CGCGGCCUAUCAGCUUGUUGGUGGGGUAAUGGCCUACCAAGGCUUCGACGGGUAGCCGGCCUGAGAGGGUGACCGGCCACACUGGGACUGAGACACGGCCCAGACUCCUACGGGAGGCAGCAGUGGGGAAUAUUGGACAAUGGGCGGAAGCCUGAUCCAGCAACGCCGCGUGAGGGAUGACGGCCUUCGGGUUGUAAACCUCUUUCAGCUCCGACGAAGCUAUCCUUUUGGGGUGGUGACGGUAGGGGAAGAAGAAGCACCGGCCAACUACGUGCCAGCAGCCGCGGUAAUACGUAGGGUGCGAGCGUUGUCCGGAAUUAUUGGGCGUAAAGGGCUCGUAGGCGGUCUGUUGCGUCAGGAGUGAAAACUCGGGGCUUAACCCCGAGCCUGCUUCUGAUACGGGCAGACUAGAGGUAUGCAGGGGAGAACGGAAUUCCUGGUGUAGCGGUGAAAUGCGCAGAUAUCAGGAGGAACACCGGUGGCGAAGGCGGUUCUCUGGGCAUUACCUGACGCUGAGGAGCGAAAGUGUGGGGAGCGAACAGGAUUAGAUACCCUGGUAGUCCACACCGUAAACGUUGGGCGCUAGGUGUGGGACUCAUUCCACGAGUUCCGUGCCGCAGCUAACGCAUUAAGCGCCCCGCCUGGGGAGUACGG